UGAGGAAUCUUCCGCAAUGGGCGCAAGCCUGACGGAGCGACACCGCGUGGAGGAUGAAGCCCUUCUUGGGCGUAAACUCCUGUUCUGAGGGACGAAAUUUUUGACGGUACCUCAGGAGAAAGUAUCGGCUAACCCUGUGCCAGCAGCCGCGGUAAGACAGGGGAUACAAGCAUUACUCGGAAUUACUGGGCGUAAAGCGUCUGUAGGCGACCAAGCAAGUCGGGGGUGAAAGUCCAAAGCUCAACUUUGUGAUUGCCCUGGAAACUGCUUGGAUUGAGCCACUGAGAGGCACCUGGAAUGCCAUGUGGAGGAGUAAAAUCCGUAGAGACAUGGUGGAACGCCAAAAGCGAAGGCAGGGUGCUAGCGGUCGGCUGACGCUGAGAGACGAAAGCGUGGGGAGCAAAGGGGAUUAGAUACCCCCGUAGUCCCUGAGCGGGCUGGCAAGGCGCAU
rnacentral:rRNA from 1 species